AACGAACGCUGGCGGCAUGCCUAACACAUGCAAGUCGAACGGGACCUUCGGGUCUAGUGGCGCACGGGUGCGUAACGCGUGGGGAUCUGCCCUUAGGUACGGAAUAACUCAGGGAAACUUGAGCUAAUACCGUAUAAUGACUUCGGUCCAAAGAUUUAUCGCCUAGGGAUGAACCCGCGUAGGAUUAGCUUGUUGGUGAGGUAAAGGCUCACCAAGGCGACGAUCCUUAGCUGGUCUGAGAGGAUGAUCAGCCACACUGGGACUGAGACACGGCCCAGACUCCUACGGGAGGCAGCAGUGGGGAAUAUUGGACAAUGGGCGAAAGCCUGAUCCAGCAAUGCCGCGUGAGUGAAGAAGG
rnacentral:rRNA from 1 species